CUUCUAAUGAAACAAAGGGGCUCCAAGUGACAGGGCCAAGGCUAUGGAGUGACAUUUCACCCUUACCCUACGGCCCCACAUUGCUCCUCAGCCAUCUGAGCCCCCAAAGAAAUGGUGACAGUACCCCUGUCACCCAUGGAAGACUAGAGAGGCACCUUGCUUAUUCAGAGCAUGAUUGCCCCAGACCAGAAAGAAGUGGAAGAAACAGACCCUCCAAAGAAGAUGAGAAGAAAGAAGGGGGCCCGCGGAGAGUGCAGUCUGCUGAUGUCCUGAUGAUAUCAGCAGCAGAGAGAGCAUUGUCACAGUGAACAGUCUUGGUUCCCAGUGUGAAGACACAGGACGAGUCUGGAGUGCAUUAGAGAAGCCAGGAGAAGUCGCUCCUUGUGAUGCUGAAGUCAGGGAAGAAGUGAAGACCGUGGGUGGAAAUGAGAAGCAUUCAACCAUAAAUUAACGUCAGGCUGCAGAGAAAUCCAGACACCAGGAAAAUUUCUCAUGGGAAAUCUACUGUCUGCCCUCCACAGGGUGUGAGUCUUGGCCUUCAGAACAAGCUAUCACGGUUGUGGUGACCUUUGGUGUUCUCUAAGCUAUCUGAGGUCACAGGUUCAAUGUUACCUUUGGGUUUCUACAUGCAGGUGACUACAAUGAGCCUCUGGAGCCGCCUUCUCUUCAGGAAGUAGCUUAGCAAAUGGAAGACCCUUCCCCAGUAAAGAUGUCUUUGAACUUAUGAAUAAAUCGAUUGCCACAUCUUCCCUGAAGCCUGGGACUCUAAGUUGACUUUGCCACUCGCUUCUAAAGCUUGCACCCAAGAGAGGGAAACUAACAAACUUCACUCCUUUGCUUACUUCACGGCUGAACAAUAAAUAUUUGGGCAAGCCCUGGGAACUCUGGAAAGAGAAACAACUCAGCUCUCCUCCAUGAGUCUCACCUGUCUCUCAGAUCAAAGUAUCACAGACACAGAGAGAGGGACCCUUCUCUCUAGGGACCUGUUCACAUGCCUCUCUCCACAGCACAUGGAGGCUUUGCUUCUGAGAGCUUGGGUGGCCAGGUGAGCAGCUGCUGUUCAGCACCUCUAUGAAGACACAGUGGCUGGAACUCUGAUAGCAGGAGCUUAAGGAGACAGAUUAAGGACCUUUUUGCAGGAGCUGGCUGCUUGCGAGUUUUCCUUACUUCUUGUCCCCCCUUUUUUAUCCCUCGUGCUUUCGAGUAUUUGGUGGUGAUCGUGAAAAUUGGCACUCAUUUACAGAAAUGCCCCUUGGGGACUUCAGGUAUUGCAACUGGAUAAAACAUAUAUUGGCUUCAGAAUGGAGAGGAAAGCCCUUUAUUCAGUACACAUAGAUGGGUAAACGCUAGCAUGUAUCCGAUGCCUUAAACCAUGUUUGUUCUCAGUCCCUGGGAUGCCAGUGUUCAAACUUCGGAUGUAAUUAGGACGCUGUGCAAGGAUGUGUUUUCAAGGAUGCUAACUAUAGCUGCUCUGUCUGACUGUUAAACUGAGAAACUGUCUAGAUGUUCAAUAACUGGGAUUGAUCGAAUGAAUGAAGGCACAGAAAUAUAAUAAAGCACAUAUAAUUGUAAAA
rnacentral:lncRNA from 1 species